GACGAACGCUGGCGGCGUGCUUAACACAUGCAAGUCGAACGAUGAAGCUAGAGCUUGCUCUGGUGAAUUAGUGGCGAACGGGUGAGUAACACGUGAGUAACCUGCCCCGAACUCUGGGAUAACUGCUGGAAACGGUAGCUAAUACUGGAUACGACCUACGAAGGCAUCUUCUGUAGGUGGAAAGAAUUUCGGUUCGGGAUGGACUCGCGGCCUAUCAGCUUGUUGGUGAGGUAAUGGCUCACCAAGGCGACGACGGGUAGCCGGCCUGAGAGGGCGACCGGCCACACUGGGACUGAGACACGGCCCAGACUCCUACGGGAGGCAGCAGUGGGGAAUAUUGCACAAUGGGCGCAAGCCUGAUGCAGCGACGCCGCGUGAGGGAUGAAGGUCUUCGGAUUGUAAACCUCUUUCAGUAGGGACGAAGCGAAAGUGACGGUACCUAAAGAAGAAGCACCGGCUAACUACGUGCCAGCCGCCGCAGUAA
rnacentral:rRNA from 1 species